CCUACGGGAGGCAGCAGUGGGGAAUAUUGGACAAUGGGCGCAAGCCUGAUCCAGCCAUACCGCGUGUGUGAAGAAGGCCUUUUGGUUGUAAAGCACUUUAAGCGAGGAGGAGGCUCUUGAGGUUAAUACCCUUGAUGAGUGGACGUUACUCGCAGAAUAAGCACCGGCUAACUCUGUGCCAGCAGCCGCGGUAAUACAGAGGGUGCGAGCGUUAAUCGGAAUUACUGGGCGUAAAGCGCGCGUAGGCGGCUUGUUAAGUCGGAUGUGAAAUCCCCGGGCUCAACCUGGGCACUGCAUUCGAUACUGGCAAGCUAGAGUAUGGGAGAGGAAGGUAGAAUUCCAGGUGUAGCGGUGAAAUGCGUAGAGAUCUGGAGGAAUACCGAUGGCGAAGGCAGCCUUCUGGCCUAAUACUGACGCUGAGGUGCGAAAGCAUGGGGAGCAAACAGGAUUAGAUACCCUGGUAGUCCAUGCCGUAAACGAUGUCAACUAGCCGUUGGGGACCUUGAGUCUUUAGUGGCGCAGCUAACGCGAUAAGUUGACCGCCUGGGGAGUACGGUCGCAAGACUAAAACGUCAAAAGGAUUGACGG
rnacentral:rRNA from 1 species